GUGAGAUGAAAAAGCGAGGGCCACGAUCCUUCCUGCAAAACGGAAAGCGUCCUCCGUGCCCUUUGCUGCCUCUCAAAACCCUCGACCCGCCGCCUAUUCGCUUCAAUUGCCUCUUCGCUGUACCUACUACCGUUCGCCUAUCUUGAUCGGUGGUGGAUGAUCGCGAAGAAUCAAAGUCUCCAAAGGAUCUUACGCUGUUUUCUCCUUUCUUUCUCGGCUUUACAACAAGAAAGGUCCUAUGAUCCUGUUGACUAUGAAUGCAUAGAUAUAGUAGAGUUUUGGGUGGUUGAGGAAGAUCCAGAACCGGAGCUUGAUGAUAAGGAGUUAGGAGAGAUGCUUAACAAAUGAGGAAAUGGAAAAGGAGCAAGUUCCAAUACCUCUAGAGUUUCUCAACUGCCUGUGUACAGCUUCUACACCACCUACAUAGAGCAGCUGCCCUUUAAAACCAUUGUGACAGCAUAUGUAGCAGAAAGUUGAUGCGGCAGGUGUUGUUCCUCCUAUAUGCCAUUAUCAUCUUUGCAGCGGGAAGUCAACAGUGCCAGUCUUGGAUUGGCUCUUUUGGUUGGUAGCUUUAGUGCUGUCAUGCUAUGCAUGGUGAGGAGCUAAUUCUAUUGGUAUUUUCUUCCUUUUUGCUGAUCGGUGGUUGUGACUAACUAUUUGGGGAGCCUUCGGAGCAUAGGCCAGGUUUCUCUUCCUUUAUAAUGGUGUUUCUUUACAAUUUUUACCAUCUAGUGUGCUUCUUUGGAUUUCCCUUCCUUUUUUUCACUUUCUCGUUUAGUUUGUUAUUUAUCUCCUUUAGUUUGGUCUUUAUCUUUGGGUCAAUGCCUGCAUGUUUUUUCAAGAUUUCAUGUUUUUCAGUGCCUUAUUUUUUGUCUAUUGUUAUAUUUCUUUUUUGCUGUGGGGGAACAGGUGAGAGUAUCUAUUUUGUUCCUCUUUCUUCUUUAUAUAGCUAGGCAUUGUUGUUGGUUAGUGGAAAUCUAUAACUGAUGAACCUCUCCCUCCUAUGUAAAUGGAGAUGGCAUCUUCUUUCAAACAAUUCAGUGCUUUGGCUAUCUAUCAUACCGAAUCAUAUUGCAGUCAAUAUACAUAUUUCACUUUAAUAACAUUAUCUAAUCCACAGCAUCCCCCUUUCUUGAAAGCAGUGCUAAACUAUAGCUAUAGCUUUCUUUGUAGCAUCACACUGCCAGGACUGGAGACAGAAUUAGAUUCUGGCAAUAUCCCUGGCUAGGCCCACAAAUCCUUCAAAAUCUUUUCCCUAUCACUUCUUCAUUAGUCCAAGGCAUAACCUUCCAUGUUUUCAUUUUUGUACAACUCAAACCCUCAACACCAACCAUCCAAGCAGGACGUCAACACCUUACUCUCCCCAAUGAAUGGGAUACAAUGGCAAUCAUCAUCAUUUGGUGUCUCCAGAAGGAACAGAACUGCCGCUUAUUCAAUAAUCAGCGGUCUACAGCACUCCUUAAUCAACUUCUUUAGCACUUUAUACAAAGACUGGGCCAGCUGCACUCCAGUUAAACACAAUGAACUUUUUCAACACUCCUGCACACCAAUCCAAAUCUAUCCUUAUAUUUUUCUGUUUUUUUUCUUCUUAUUUUUACUUUGCUUUGUCAAGUUUUAACUCUUUCACUGACAUUUUCUACUUUGAUUUUAUUUUCUUAAUGAAAUUUGGAUGGGUAUAAUGCCCUCCCUUUUACCUCAAAGAAGAAGUGCAGAAAUAUUCAUAAAAGUUUCCUUCCACAGAGAAUAUGUUGCCCCAUUAAAACAAUUUUGGUUGCUGCUACGAAUAGAGCAGACAUUAUUUCUGUCACAUGCAAAAAUCUAGUUGGGCCUCUCUUUUCUUCUCAAUCUUUAUACUUCGCUUUUGAUUGCUGCUUCUUUCUUCUUGCUUACUCUUUGCAAGAUUUAUUUUACUUGAUGCAAUGAUUAGAAGCAAAUUCAGGAAAAGAAAUUGGACCGCCUCACUGUAUACAAAGUUUUUGUUUCAUGAACUUCCACAGCUAUAGUUUUGUUUUAAUGCUUAUUGCAGCAAUUUCCCUCUCCCACCCUUUUUCUUCUCUCUUCUUUUUUGGUCUUUUCUUGAUCUGCAAAUGUGGUUAAAUAGUUUUCAUGAGAAGUGGCGUUUCCGCUGAAAAUUUUUGUUUGUGCUGCCUUUAUGUUGAGUUUCUUUUUGUCAGAUCUACAAAUCUAUAACUACAAUUUUGUAUAUGCAUUUCCAAACUAUACAAGAAGAAUGUAGGAUAACAAUUAUGCUAUAGUUUAGAAAGAUUUUGGUGGAGAUGCCCUGCCUCAUGAAAAAGAAGACGAACUUAAUCACACGCUGCAAAAUUUUAGCAAACUGAAUUGCCUUUUUAAAUUUUGUUGAACAAAAGGAAAAGGAAAUGGAAAUGUUUAUAUCAGUCAGCGGAAAAUAAUUCCAUGGAUGUAAGCACAGCAAUAAGAAAUUCUUAUGAGUUUCAUUCAUAUUUGCUUCUGUAUUACUUCUUUCUUGAAGAUCUAAUUAUACUUAUGAGACCUUUUCAUACUAUAUAUAGCAGAUUCCUACAAAAAAAUGUAUCAGAUGGUAUCUACUUUCUUAUGUUUCUUUUCACCUUUCUUGAGAAUAAAACAUUAUGCUGACAUUGUUCAGCAUUGCAAACAAGUUAUUGCCGCAAUGCAUGCAUACAUAACCUUUCCUACACACGCCGUUUUAUAAUUGCUUAUUUUUAUUUUCCCUUACUGAAGUGUUUUCCCAUUGUUUUAAUGAUUUCUAUAUUCAUUUAAUUAUUUGAUUUCUUGUCCGUAGUGCUUCUCUCUCACAUCCUUCUCGGAAUUUAAGCGGAGUUCAUAGAUACCAGAAAAUCCUCUCUUUGUUGGCUUGUUUUAUUUGAGCAAAUAUCUGUUGGAAUGAGAACAAAAUUUAGCUCCCUGUGAAUCGACUACAUUCAAUAGCUAUUCCUGUUUUCUUCCUACUGUUGCUACCAUAUUAACAUAAAUAUUUUUGUAUAAACUACUUCCAACGCUCCUGCUUUCAAUUCCUUGCAACACUCUGGCUGAAUCGAGAUCUUUUAUAAGAUCCACUGUGCCUGAAGCAGAAACUAAAAAGCAGUAUGGAGAGGGCUGAAAGCAACAGUAUUAAUACUUAUAGUGGAAGAUAAGGCUAGAUGGGAGUCCCAUACUGUCCUAAGCUGGAUAAAUAGAAUUCACCGCAGGUGUGAAUCCAGCCCAUCCCCCACUCUUGGAUGAUCAAGCAAUUUUUUUUGUCUUUUCUCUGUGAGCCAUGCCUCCAGAGGAGCUAAUCAAUGCCUCCAGAGGAGCAAAUCAAGCCAAGCUUGCCAGGGAUUUAAUCGAGAUAAUCCCUCCAUGAUGACAAUGCCAUUCAUCCUCUUGUUUGUGCCGAUAUGUAUGGAGUUAUGUUUCUAAGAAUGUAGACUGUGGGUAGAUCCUGCCCUGUAUAACCCAAAAAAAUAUAUAUAUAUUAUUAGGACAUGGUGAAGGGUCAUGGCCACGUGGUGGAUUCUGCUGAAGUUAGUUGUUCUUAUAAAAUUCUAUCUCCAUUAUAUCUAUUAUUUUUGUCUGCAAAGAGUAAGACCAAUAUCAUUAUGGGGGCAUUUGGUGAUCCAAUUGGGAUCACUAUGGUAAUUUAAGAUUAUUGAUGCUCCAAAUUUUAGGAUGAUCUGAUUCUUAGUGAUCUAAGAUUAUUAUGUUUGGUUGGCUAUAGUGCAGUGAUUAAAGAUCUUUAGAUAUAUAUAAAUAAUUAUAUUUGAUAUAUUACGGAAAGUCAAGAUUACUGAUCAUAUAAUAUCAAAAAUAUCUCUAAAUAUCUCAGACAUUAUUUUGG